rnacentral:rRNA from 1 species
CUUGACAUCCCGAUGCUAUUUCUAGAGAUAGAAGUUACUUCGGUACAUCGGUGACAGGUGGUGCAUGGUUGUCGUCAGCUCGUGUCGUGAGAUGUUGGGUUAAGUCCCGCAACCGAGCGCAACCCCUAUUGUUAGUUGCCAUCAUUCAGUUGGGCACUCUAGCGAGACUGCCGGUAAUAAACCGGAGGAAGUGGGGAUGACGUCAAAUCAUCAUGCCCCUUAUGACCUGGGCUACACACGUGCUACAAUGGUUGGUACAACGAGUUGCGAGUCGGUGACGGCGAGCUAAUCUCUUAAAGCCAAUCUCAGUUCGGAUUGUAGGCUGCAACUCGCCUACAUGAAGUCGGAAUCGCUAGUAAUCGCGGAUCAGCACGCCGCGGUGAAUACCGGUUCCCGGGCCUU